rnacentral:lncRNA from 1 species
UCAUGUGUGGGCCGAGUCAUGUUCGAAGUGUCGUGAAGCUGAGUGGGCCGAGUCAAGUUCGAAGUAGCGUGAGGCUAGUUGGGUCGAGUCACAAUCGAGACCCGUAGGCGUUGUAUCUGUACGCUUUAAAUGAAUUUGUUGCGUAUUUCUAACAGCUUGAGCUUUUGGGAUUAAUGGUUAGCGCCAACGAUCCGAUAGGAACGAAAGUAAUUUAGCUAAAUACUAACAUCAAAGUAAUCGUCAUAUAUUU